CGGCUACAUAGCUCAGUCGGUUAGAGCGCAGCAUUCAUAAUGCUGAUGUCCCAGGUUCAAGUCCCGGUGUAGCCACC
rnacentral:tRNA from 3 species